AACGAACGCUGGCGGCAGGCCUAACACAUGCAAGUCGAGCGGGACCUUCGGGUCUAGCGGCGGACGGGUUAGUAACGCGUGGGAACGUGCCCAAAGGUACGGAAUAGCCUCGGGAAACUGAGAGUAAUACCGUAUGUGCCCCUCGGGGGAAAGAUUUAUCGCCUUUGGAUCGGCCCGCGUUGGAUUAGGUAGUUGGUGGGGUAAUGGCCUACCAAGCCGACGAUCCAUAGCUGGUUUGAGAGGAUGAUCAGCAACACUGGGACUGAGACACGGCCCAGACUCCUACGGGAGGCAGCAGUGGGGAAUCUUAGACAAUGGGGGAAACCCUGAUCUAGCCAUGCCGCGUGAGCGAUGAAGGCCUUAGGGUUGUAAAGCUCUUUCAGAUGGGAAGAUAAUGACGGUACCAUCAGAAGAAGCCCCGGCUAACUCCGUGCCAGCAGCCG
rnacentral:rRNA from 1 species